rnacentral:misc_RNA from 1 species
UUUUAUUCUUGAAGGAGGAGAAGGGACAAAUUUUUUGAGUUCCUGUUUCUUUCACAUUCAUUUUCAUUUCGAUUUCUCUCUGUUUCGUCUGUUCAGGUAGCAACACAAUCUCCAUAAAAAUUUUGCCAAACCAUGGACAGAAUGCAAGAAAACGUUCCUUUUGGAUUCGCCAAUACUGCCGAUAUCGGGUCCUCGCUAUCGCAACUCAAAUUGGCUGGAGGCAGUAACCCGUUAGAUUCAAUUUUCUCCCAUUGCCCUCCAGAAA